AACGAACGCUGGCGGCAUGCCUAACACAUGCAAGUCGAACGAGACCUUCGGGUCUAGUGGCGCACGGGUGCGUAACGCGUGGGAAUCUGCCCCUUGGUUCGGAAUAACUUCGGGAAACUGAAGCUAAUACCGGAUAAUGACGUAAGUCCAAAGAUUUAUCGCCAAGGGAUGAGCCCGCGUAGGAUUAGCUAGUUGGUGGGGUAAAGGCUCACCAAGGCGACGAUCCUUAGCUGGUCUGAGAGGAUGAUCAGCCACACUGGGACUGAGACACGGCCCAGACUCCUACGGGAGGCAGCAGUGGGGAAUAUUGGACAAUGGGCGAAAGCCUGAUCCAGCAAUGCCGCGUGAGUGAUGAAGGCCUUAGGGCUGUAAAGCUCUUUACCCGGGAAGAUAAUGACUGUACCGGGGAGAAUAAGCCCCGGCUAACUCCGUGCCAGCAGCCGCGGU
rnacentral:rRNA from 1 species